GACGAACGCUGGCGGCGUGCUUAACACAUGCAAGUCGAACGAUGAACCGGUUUCGGCUGGGGAUUAGUGGCGAACGGGUGAGUAACACGUGGGCAAUCUGCCCUGCACUCUGGGACAAGCCCUGGAAACGGGGUCUAAUACCGGAUAUGACCACCGACCGCAUGGUCUGGUGGUGGAAAGCUCCGGCGAUGCAGGAUGAGCCCGCGGCCUAUCAGCUUGUUGGUGGGGUGAUGGCCUACCAAGGCGACGACGGGUAGCCGGCCUGAGAGGGCGACCGGCCAGACUGGGACUGAGACACGGCCCAGACUCCUGCGGGAGGCAGCAGUGGAGAAGAUUGCACAAUGGGCGAAAGCCUGAUGCAGCGACGCAGCGUGAGGGAUGACGGCCUUCGGGUUGUAAACCUCUUUCAGCAGGGAAGAAGCGGAAGUGAAGGUACCUGCAGAAGAAGCGCCGGCUAACUACGUGCCAGCAGCCGCGGUAA
rnacentral:rRNA from 1 species